GAGUUUGAUCGUGGCUCAGAGUGAACGCUGGCGGCAGGCCUAACACAUGCAAGUCGAGCGGCAGCACGGGUAGCAAUACCUGGUGGCGAGCGGCGGACGGGUGAGGAAUACAUCGGAAUCUGCCUCGUCGUGGGGGAUAACGUAGGGAAACUUACGCUAAUACCGCAUACGACCGAGAGGUGAAAGCGGGGGAUCGCAAGACCUCGCGCGAUGAGAUGAGCCGAUGUCGGAUUAGCUAGUUGGCGGGGUAAAGGCCCACCAAGGCGACGAUCCGUAGCUGGUCUGAGAGGAUGAUCAGCCACACUGGAACUGAGACACGGUCCAGACUCCUACGGGAGGCAGCAGUGGGGAAUAUUGGACAAUGGGCGCAAGCCUGAUCCAGCCAUGCCGCGUGGGUGAAGAAGGCC
rnacentral:rRNA from 1 species